rnacentral:rRNA from 1 species
GUGAGGAAUAUUGGUCAAUGGGCGAGAGCCUGAACCAGCCAAGUAGCGUGAAGGAUGACUGCCCUAUGGGUUGUAAACUUCUUUUAUAAAGGAAUAAAGUCGGGUAUGCAUACCCGUUUGCAUGUACUUUAUGAAUAAGGAUCGGCUAACUCCGUGCCAGCAGCCGCGGUAAUACGGAGGAUCCGAGCGUUAUCCGGAUUUAUUGGGUUUAAAGGGAGCGUAGGCGGGUUGUUAAGUCAGUUGUGAAAGUUUGCGGCUCAACCGUAAAAUUGCAGUUGAUACUGGCGACCUUGAGUGCAACAGAGGUAGGCGGAAUUCGUGGUGUAGCGGUGAAAUGCUUAGAUAUCACGAAGAACUCCGAUUGCGAAGGCAGCCUGCUAAGCUGCAACUGACAUUGAGGCUCGAAAGUGUGGGUAUCAAACAGGAUUAGAAACCCCUGUAGUCC